AGAGUUUGAUCAUGGCUCAGGACGAACGCUGGCGGCAUGCCUAAUACAUGCAAGUCGAGCGAACUGACGGAGGAACUUGUUCCUCUUGACGUGAGCGGCGGACGGGUGAGUAACACGUGGGAAACCUACCUUUCAGCGGGGGAUAACGUUCGGAAACGGACGCUAAUACCGCAUAACGUUAAUAGUCGCAUGACUAUUAAAUAAAAGACGGCUCUGCUGUCACUGAAAGAUGGACCCGCGGUGCAUUAGUUAGUUGGUAAGGUAACGGCUUACCAAGACGAUGAUGCAUAGCCGACCUGAGAGGGUGAUCGGCCACACUGGGACUGAGACACGGCCCAGACUCCUACGGGAGGCAGCAGUAGGGAAUCUUCCGCAAUGGACGAAAGUCUGACGGAGCAAUGCCGCGUGUAUGAAGAAGGUCUCCGGAUCGUAAAGUACUGUUAUCAGCCAAGAACAAUUCACAGAGUAACUGUUGUGGAUCUGACGGUAACUGAUCAGAAAGCCACGGCUAACUACGUGCCAGCAGCCGCGGUAAUACGUAGGUGGCAAGCGUUGUCCGGAUUUAUUGGGCGUAAAGGGAGCGCAGGCGGUGACUUAAGUCUGAUGUGAAAGCCCACGGCUCAACCGUGGAAGGUCAUUGGAAACUGGGUCACUUGAAUGGAGCAGAGGAGAACGGAAUUCCAUGUGUAGCAGUGAAAUGCGUAGAUAUAUGGAGGAACACCAGUGGCGAAGGCGGUUCUCUGGGCUCACAUUGACGCUGAGGCUCGAAAGCGUGGGGAGCGAACAGGAUUAGAUACCCUGGUAGUCCACGCCGUAAACGAUGAGUGCUAAGUGUUGGGGGGCUUCCACCCCUCAGUGCUGGCGUUAACGCAAUAAGCACUCCGCCUGGG
rnacentral:rRNA from 1 species